rnacentral:misc_RNA from 1 species
AAAGUCGUAACAAGGUUUCCGUAGGUGAACCUGCGGAAGGAUCAUUAAAGAUUCGACCUCUUGGUCUAUCUCUCUUCAGCUGUGCGCUUAGGCUGCACGCUGUUGAACCUUUCACACCUGUGCACCAUUCGGUUGCGGUUUCGGCCGCUUCCGCUUUUACACAUACAACCACAGUCCAGAAUGUAAACACAAUAACAAAUAACAACUUUCAACAACGGAUCUCUUGGCUCUC